rnacentral:rRNA from 1 species
UACGGAAGGUCCGGGCGUUAUCCGGAUUUAUUGGGUUUAAAGGGAGCGCAGGCUGGGACUUAAGCGUGACGUGAAAUGCCGCGGCUCAACCGUGGAAGUGCGUCGCGAACUGGGUUCCUUGAGUGAGUUCGACGUGGGCGGAAUUCGUGGUGUAGCGGUGAAAUGCUUAGAUAUCACGAAGAACCCCGAUUGCGAAGGCAGCCCACGAGUCCUUAACUGACGCUAAAGCUCGAAGGUGCGGGUAUCGAAC